ACUUAUCACUACUCUUGCACUCACUUUGAACCUCAACAACAAACUCUUCACCCCAACUCACUCUUCACUAAAUUCCAUUCGAGAAUUGUUCAUCUUACAAUGAGUUCUUCUUGUAAAGAAUAAUUUGUUGUUUUGUGGUCAUCUUUUGUACAAGUUUUAGAAAUAUAUUGACUCUUUGAUCCACCCAACUAUCUAAAAAUCGCCAACACCUUUUUUCUUUUCACUCCUAACAUCACCAUCUCAAUUUAAAACCUUCUCAUAUACUACCAACUACAUAGUGACUAAAAACCAAGAAAAAAAGCAUGUAUUUUAUCAAGAAAUUAAGAAACUCACCUUGAGCAUGAACCUCACGCUAAAGUGUGGAGCUGCCUUUGGGCAUGGGUGGAAUUGGAAAAUAGGUCGAAUGGCCCCUUCACACUAAGAAAGGAGGGUCUUGUGAAAAAUCCCCACAGCUGAAACCAAGUGGCAAAUAUACUAUAUUUGGGGUAGGCUUCACAUACUCCCUUAAUUCCUCCGACCAGUUGGUGAAUGAUGAGAGGACAACAAGGGAUAACCUUGCUUUCCUUCGUAAGUGGUUCAAGAUAUUUUCAAUGCUAAGAAAAAAUUCCUUUUUUAUUGUUGGAGAGCGCUAUGCGGGACAUUUUGUACCCCCAACUUGCAAAUCUGAUUAUUCAAACAAAAUUUCGUAUAAAUUUGAAGGGGAUUACUAUUGCCAAUUCUCUUCUUGAUUUUAACACAAACUAUAAUUAUGUAGCAAGCUUUUAUUGGUCUCAUUGUGUUAUAUCCGAGCAGAUCUUUGACUUUUUAAUGAAGGUUUGCAAUUAUUCCCAAAUUAAAAGAGAACAUAUUUAUGGUGGAGUUCGUGGCAUUUGCAAGCAAGUGUAUUUCCAAUUUGUUCAUGAUGUUGGUGAUUUUAAGGGUUACACUGAUGUCCUUGAUAAUAUCUGAUACGCUUGGAAUUUGGAUUUUUGGAUCUCUGAUUGUGUUAAUGAUCUAACUUUCACAUAUCUGAACACAAGAGAUGUGCAGGAUGCUCUGCGUGUUGGGCUCUUCAGGAAGAAGUCUUGGUCAUUUUGCACAUUUCAAAGGAUCAGGACAUGCUGCACAUUCUCAUCCUGAGAGGAGUCUUAUACUUCUCAAAGCCUUCCUUGAAGGAAAGCAGGCUCCAACACUUACAUAUAUUUUUUUUUUCCUCAAAAAAAAAAAAAAAUUAACAUACACAAGAACAAUCCAACUAGUUCCAAUUUCUAUGAUGAAAGUGACUUCUCACCACCAUUAGAACUAUGAUAGAAUGUAUUUAGAUCAAAAGUAAUGAAAUUUGCAUUUCUUCUUGUGCAGAAACCGAUUAAGGCCCGUUGUUGGGUAGUUUGCUGAGAAUUCAGAGCUGUGGUUUGUGAUCAGUACUCAAAUUCUAAUGAACAAAUGCACGCUCAACUUCUGGAAGUUUCUCAAGUUUUAUUUAGAAUAUCUCCAAUGUCAUGUGCUUCUUUUAAGUGUAAAUCUUCUGGCAGUUCGACCUCGACCUCCACAAAAUAUAAAACAACAGAUGUAUAUGUGCAAACAAUAUAUCAAUAUGGUUAAUUCCAACGUGUAUUAUAACAAGAUGUGAUAGCUUCUGCAACUUCACAGGAGAUACAUAUUGCCCCACCAGUUAAACUGCAUUUUCUAUGAUAGUGUGAGACCAAUUUGAAAUAGUGUAAAUUGCAAGCAAAAUAGCCCCCCUCCCCCCAAUGGAUCAAUCCACCAGUGAAAUUUAUCACCAAGAAUAGUCGUAACUAAUAAACAUACAUGUUACAACAUCAAUGUGCUGAUAAUCUGCAUAGGCAUUGACAAUCUUGUUUCCUAAGCGAUCAACUGCAAAUUAUCUUGUACUUUAUAUACUUUGUAUAUAUUGGUUUCCAGGUAGCGGCAUAUAUAAGGCAAUAUUUAUAGGGAGCUUCUAUGAAGAAGUCGGGGAAUUGACUUUUUCGGUGAAGUCGUUAAUUCAGCCAAUCAGAUUUCAAGCCAUGACACGUCAGAUGUUGGGACAAAUUCUAAUAUGGAUCACUUGUUUCAUAUGUUCCACCAUAGACAAGUUUAUUUCAAGAUCUUAAUGGUUAGAUUUGUUUGGUCUCUAUGAUAUUGUGGUACACGCUCUACACAUGAUUUUUCUUAUUUUUCCAAUUC